rnacentral:rRNA from 1 species
UACGAAGGGGGCUAGCGUUGCUCGGAAUUACUGGGCGUAAAGCGCAUGUAGGCGGUCUUUUAAGUCGGGGGUGAAAUCCUGGAGCUCAACUCCAGAACUGCCUUCGAUACUGGAAGACUCGAGUCCGGGAGAGGUGAGUGGAACUGCGAGUGUAGAGGUGAAAUUCGUAGAUAUUCGCAAGAACACCAGUGGCGAAGGCGGCUCACUGGCCCGGUACUGACGCUGAGGUGCGAAAGCGUGGGGAGCAAACAGG